rnacentral:rRNA from 1 species
UACGUAGGGUGCAAGCGUUGUCCGGAAUUAUUGGGCGUAAAGAGCUCGUAGGCGGUCUGUCGCGUCUGCUGUGAAAACUCGGGGCUUAACCCCGGGCCUGCAGUGGGUACGGGCAGACUAGAGUGCGGUAGGGGAGACUGGAAUUCCUGGUGGAGCGGUGAAAUGCGUAGAGAUCGGAAAGAACACCAACGGCGAAAGCACUCUGCUGGGCCGACACUGACACUGAGAGACGAAAGCUAGGGGAGCGAAUGGG